GAUGAACGCUGGCGGCGUGCCUAAUACAUGCAAGUCGAGCGAACGGACGAGAAGCUUGCUUUUCUGAUGUUAGCGGCGGACGGGUGAGUAACGCGUGGAUAACCUACCUAUAAGACUGGGAUAACUUCGGGAAACCGGAGCUAAUACCGGAUAAUAUUUUGAACCGCAUGGUUCAAAAGUGAAAGACGGCCUUGCUGUCACUUAUAGAUGGAUCCGCGCUGCAUUAGCUAGUUGGUAAGGUAACGGCUUACCAAGGCAACGAUGCAUAGCCGACCUGAGAGGGUGAUCGGCCACACUGGAACUGAGACACGGUCCAGACUCCUACGGGAGGCAGCAGUAGGGAAUCUUCCGCAAUGGGCGAAAGCCUGACGGAGCAACGCCGCGUGAGUGAUGAAGGUCUUCGGAUCGUAAAACUCUGUUAUUAGGGAAGAACAUAUGUGUAAGUAACUGUGCACAUCUUGACGGUACCUAAUCAGAAAGCCACGGCUAACUACGUG
rnacentral:rRNA from 1 species